UGGUUCUGGCAUCGAUGAAGAACGCAGCGAAAUGCGAUAAGUAAUGCGAAUUGCAGAAUUCCAGUGAGUCAUCGAAUCUUUGAACGCACAUUGCGCCCUUUGGUAUUCCGAAGGGCAUGCCUGUUCGAGCGUCAUUAUCACCCCUCAAGCCCCGUGCUUGGUGUUGGACGGCCGGUCGAGGUCUCACCCUCGACCGCCUCCUCAAGGCAAUGACGGCGGCCUGUGGUUCCCCCGGUACACUGAGCUUCUCACCGAGCACGUACCGGACAAGGGCGCCCAGGACCCGGUCUUCUCCUCUCGCGAGGAAAUAAUUACAAGGUUGACCUCGGAUCAGGUAGGAAUACGCGCUGA
rnacentral:misc_RNA from 1 species